AACACGAGAAUCGUUAAGUGUCUAGUUAUUUGAUCGACUACACAGCCGCUAAGUCUAUCUUUUUCCUUUUUAAAUCUCUCUGCAAAUCCUUCUCUUCUAGCUCGUUUCUCCUAAUCUCUUGUCUGUUUCUUUAUGGCUUCACACUGAAAACCGCUCAUGCUUCAAAAUCAAAACGGAAUCCACCGUUUUAGAGUUUGCCUCAAACCUAGGAGGUACACAUUGGGUUACUCCCACUCUUUGAUGUUUCUAAGUUCUCUGGUGUAUUUAAUUUUUAGCUAAUCGAUUUUUUGUUUUGCUGAGCUCUGGAGAUGGUGGCUAAUCAAAAGGAUGGUGGUUAAUCGAUUUUUUGUUUUGCUGAGCUCUGGAGAUGGUGGCUAAUCAAAAGGAUGGUGGCUAAUUGAUUUUUUGUUUUGCUGAGCUCUGGAGAUGUUGAAGGAUGGCGGCGGUGGAGCAAGGAAGAGGAAGAUGGUUUUGGUUUUGUUUAGGGUUUAUUAAUUGGUUUGGUUUAAGUUUUUUUCGGUUCGAUAUUUUUGUAAACCAGUUUUUAUUCCCGGUUUAAGAUUUUUAAUAUAAUAUAAUUUUUAAAACAAAAGUAGCAUUUAUAAUUAAUAUUAAUUAGUUAAUAUCAAAAUAAUUUUCGAAAUUAAUUUAACUAAUAUUUUAUUAUUAAAUGGUGAAAAUAAUUCGUAGGAAAUAGGAGGGUAAAAUAUCGUAGAAAAAUUAAUCGCAG
rnacentral:lncRNA from 1 species